AGAAACUAAACCAGAGCAUUGGGCCAUGUGGUUUUAAGUGAUCAGCUUAACAUAUUUUAAGAAAUCUGAGGGGAAAAUCACUUGUGCUUUAUUGGUUAUUUUGACAAAUGAAAUUGCGUAAAAAUUGCUUUGAUUUGAGUUGAUGUCUACACAUGCAAACUCCUGAUAAACAGCAAAGCCCACAGUCCACAGGACAUCAUCAUCAUUCGGGAGUAGGCAUGGUCUCCAUUCUUUCCAUGCACACGCCUCAGCUUCAAAAAGACAUCUGUUACACUAGUGAUGACCAUCAUGAUCCCGUCUGUGAGCUCCAGGCAUGGCACAGCCCCGCAAGGUAAAUGUUAUUACUAAAGGUCAGAGAAGUUCUGUAACUUGCCCAGUCACAUACCUGGCACAGAGCUAAGCCAGGCUUCGAGCUCAAGUCCUCCUGAUGCAGAAGCUAUUUCCACUGAACCAGCCCAGGCAAAAUCCUGGCUGGGUCUGUGUGACUCUUUGCUUUCAAAACACGUAGCUUUGAGGAGAUGUGUGUGUGUCCAUUAAAAAAAAUCCAGAAACAACCAAACUCUCGGAACUUUUGAGAAUGUAUUUUGUACCUAAAUAAAUGUGGCUCAGCAUUGCCUUUGUUUAGACUUCAAACAAAAUUGAACAAACCAUUAGAACCCCUAUCCACCCAAAACAGUAAUCAGCCUAAUUUAAGAAGAGAUGGAGAUGUUAAUCAUAUUAUCGCUGUUAGAAUGCUGACUGUGGAAGAAAUGUGUUAAGAAUAAAUUUUCUAUGGAAAACAGUAUGGUAGUUCUCAAAUAUUAAAAGUAGAAUUACCAUAUGACUUGACUCAGCAAUUCUACUUUUAGAUAUACACCCAAAAGAAUUGAAAGUGAGGUCUCAAAGAGACAUUUGUACACAUUUAUCGAAGAAUUAUUUACCGUAGCUGAAAGGCGAGCCACGUCAUAGAGGACUGCUCGUUUGGGGAAAAGCUACAGAAUGUUUUCCAUGACUCACGAGUCACCGAUCAGCUGAGAUAAGAGACCCGAGGAGCAGGCGCAGGGAGAGGCGAGGAGAUCCUUGGCCUCCCUCUGUGAAGAUGGUGACUGCCACACGUCAGGUACCCUGCCCAGAGAGCAGCCAUUGCACACAGUGGGGCGGCAAGUUAUCAGUGACAAAGGAAGCAAAGGAGAUACAGUUUCUAGGAAAUGUGCCUUUUGGGGCUGACCUUCAAGAAAAACUGAGGGAGAAAACUCCAAGGUCAACAACAUGAGAGCGAAGCCACCAGAUGUCACCACAGCCCGUGCUCUGAUCACUGAGUCUCCAGACAGAGGAAAGAGUGCCUGCACAGACAUGGGAAACCUGGCUAAGACAUGCGCACGGAUCCAAGGCACUGCAGAAUUCCAUUUUCCUACGGUUAAUAUUUAUGUCACAAAAAUGCAAUAGCUACAGUUUAAGACUGAUUGAUUGACAGAGACAUGUGACGCUUGAAAUUGUCCCUCUAAAUAUGGAUACUGUCCACAUGUUGCUGGACUAAGCAUCCAGCCAAGACUUGGAGACCUUCCACAGGCCCAGCUGGUCCCUUCCACCUGCCCUCUCGGAUCCCACCUCACAAAGUGCAGGCUGUGUUCUCCCAGGACAAUCUGCUCUGCUAUAUUCCCUGGGAACCACUUUGCCUUUGGCUCCUGCCAGAAGCUGCCCUUUCCCUUCAAGGCUGGUGUAGAGUGGACACCUGAAAGUGCUCCCCAUCCCAAUCGGGUUGGGACAUGCAGAGAUCCAGGUUUUGUCGUAACAAACAGGAGACAGAGUGCCUUCCACAAAGCACCUUUUCCUGCCCAGGGCUGCGUUAUCUCGGCAUCAUUCCCUGGGGCCGUCUGCACUUAACUGCACAAUGUUUCUCUUAGCUACCUCUAUGAAUUGCACACACACGCAUUCCUGAGUGAAUACGCAUGCAGCAGUUCCUAAUUCUAAAACCUACAGGAAACUCUUUUCCCCGAAGGUAAAUAUUAACCUAUGCUCACAUUCUUAAGUUUUGCGGUGCACAAUAACUGAAAAUACUCCAUAAACAA